UACGUAGGGGGCAAGCGUUGUCCGGAUUUAUUGGGCGUAAAGAGCGUGUAGGCGGCUUGGUAGGUCCGCUGUGAAAACUCGAGGCUCAACCUCGAGAUGUCGGCGGAAACCACUUGGCUAGAGUCCGGAAGAGGAGAGCGGAAUCCGGGUGGAGUGGUGAAAUGCGUAGAUAUCCGGAGGAAUACCAAAGGCGAAGGCAGUGUCCUGGCUGGCAUCUGACGCUGAGGCGCGAAAGCUAGGGGAGCGAACAGG
rnacentral:rRNA from 1 species